rnacentral:rRNA from 1 species
UACGGAGGGUGCAAGCGUUUGUUCGGAAUUAUUGGGCGUAAAGGGCAGGUAGGUGGUCUUAUAAGUCUACUGUGAAAUCCCUGGGCUUAACCCAGGAACUGCGGUGGAUACUGCAAGACUAGAGUGCUGGAGGGGUGCGUGGAAUUCCCGGUGUAGCGGUGAAAUGCGCAGAUAUCGGGAGGAACACCGGUGGCGAAGGCGCCACUCUGGGCCGAAACUGACGCUGAGGAGCGAAAGCGUGGGUAGCAAACGAGG